GUGUGCUUCGAUAUAGAUGCAAACGGUAUCUUAAACGUGUCUGCCGAGGACAAGACGACGGGACAAAAGAACAAGAUCACCAUCACCAACGACAAGGGUCGUCUAUCAAAGGACGAAAUUGAGAAGAUGGUUCAGGAGGCUGAAAAGUACAAGUCUGAAGAUGAAGACCACAAGAAGAAGAUUGAGGCAAAGAAUGGGCUCGAGAACUACGCCUACAACAUGAGGAAUACUAUCAAGGAUGAGAAGAUUGCAUCCAACUUGGACGCAGCUGAUAAGAAGAAGAUUGAGGACGCAGUUGAGGCUGCUAUCCAGUGGUUGGACCAAAACCAACUUGCGGAGAGCGAUGAGUUCGAAGACAAGAUGAAGGAAUUGGAGGGUGUGUGCAACCCCAUCAUUGCCCGCAUGUACCAGGGUGGCGCUGGAGGUGGUGAGGGUGCCGCCCCAUCAUAUGGAGGAACCGACUCUCCACCAUCUGGCGCGGGACCCAAGAUCGAGGAGGUGGACUAAAAUUUCUAGUUCACCAUUCUGUAUCAGCUGGUAGGCAUAGAUGAGAAAAGUGCUGUCUACAAUCUGUACCUUUGCAUCAAAGUCGACCCUGUCUCCAGUUGUUGCGGUUCGUCUAGAUGCGUAUAUAAGAUUCAUUCUUCUUUGGUAUAUUCCCGGUCAAGUCUUAUGAUCCGAGCCUCAUGCUAACAGUUAUGCUUUUUCCUGCUUGAAAUUUGUACACGUAAAGCUCGUGUCAUAAGACUACUUGUUGACGCAUCCAUUAAUAAUCUGCACGCAGCAUCAGAACCCCAAUGGAAUCAUACCCUUGCUUUGCCCCUCGGAGAGUUUCACUUAAACAUGUCAAGUGAAUUGUUUAUCUGAAGCUAUCUCUACACUACAUUGCGGGAGACAAAUUAAUGACUUAUUUUUACGUAGUGCACACAGUGCAUCAACAAUAUCCAAUAUUCCUCAUCAUUCUCAGCAUGAGCGAAAUGAGACGAGAUCUGCUACACAUUUCAUGUAAACAUCGAGACUCUGCGGAGUUCCACACCAUUCGCAAAAGCGUAGACAAUAUUCUACAAUAUCUUGCAAAACAACUUUCACUUCGUACUUUUGAGAGAACCAAAAUGUUCUAUCAACGAGUAUAUUAUUAACAUAUGUGGUCCUAUAAUCCAAAUGUGUACAUCUACGUAUGCGUGUCCCUCAUACUGAUUAUCAACAUAUAUUAAAAACUGAAGUACAUUCAAUUAAUAGAAUUGAUGUAUCUCACCAUCAUAUCAAAAAAUAACCUAUUCACCUACUUCGAAAUAAUGUAACACUCAGAAUUUUCAAUUGUAUGCCUUUUAAGUUUUAAUGUUUCGAAAUGUUGAAUUAUUUUGAAAUGCUUUCUCAUACACUUACUAAUUUAUAUUUUUACCUAAAAUUACACAAUAAUUUGAUCUUUAUCCAGCCUUUAGAAUUACAUCAUUAUGUUCAGAAAUCUCUUUGGAUGGUAAUGUUGUGCUAUGAAUAUGCUAUUAGAACUUGAACAUACUAUUAUGAAAAUAAAAUUGGUAAAAUUAAUGUAAUAGGAAUGUCAAUUUCAAUUGUGUCUAUAACUAUGAUGAUAUAUAUAUAUAUAUAUAUAUAUAUGCACAUGUAUUAGUAUUUUUUUUUUUAUCAGUUUGUAUAUAGUAAUAAGUUUCAAAAUUUAGAUUGAUUUAUCAAAAUUGUAGAAGUACUAAUAAUAGAUUUUAAAACUAUUUUAUAAUAGUAAAAGUUGUAUAUAAUUGAAAUCAUAUAAAAAGUCGUUUUCUUAUAAUAUUUGUAGAAUAUUUAAUUAAAACGAAAAUCAGAUUAUGAUAAAAAUGUGUUAUAAGUUUUGUGUGUUAUAAUGCAAUAGUAAAACCUGAUGAUAAUGAAUAUGUUCAAAAGAUGUCUAUGUUUAAUAUACACAUACUAAUUAAAAAUAUCAAAAUCUAUUUUAUAUUAUUCAAAGACUAUUUUAAAAAAACAAAGCUUAGAAAAUAUAAUAUCAAAAUCUAUUUUAUAUUAUUCAAAGACUAUUUAAAAAGAAAACAAAGCUUAGAAAAUAUAAUUUGAUCAUUCAAUAAACUUAUAGUUACUAUAGUUUUAAUUUUUAAAUUUAUACUAAUGUGAUAAUAAUGCAAUAUAUAUUUUUAUUGAUAUUUUUUACAAAUUAAUGGAUGAUCAAUUUUUAAUAUAUACAUAAUUUUUAAUAAUUUUUAAUAAUUUUUAGUAUUUAUUUAAUAAUAAUAAUAAUAAUAAUAAUUUUCUUUCAUACAAAAACAAUCAUCUAUGGAUAAAAUUAGGUCUAAAUGAAGUUGGAUUAGGAAUUGAAUAAAUUUAGGAAUUGGAUGAAUUAGGAUUUCAAUGAAUUUAAUUAAUACAUGUAUAGGUGUUGUGUAGGUUUUUUUAGUGAUGAAUGGAAUUAAUUAAAAAAGCUCAAAGAAUCAAUUAAUAAGAACUUAAAAGAAUAGCUACAUAUAAUUAAAAUAUAAAAUAAUUAAUUGUUGUGAAUUAGAGUAAACUACCAACUAGUAGGGAUUUAUCUUAGUUUAUGUACAAACUAACAAAUCUUUCUUAUAGAUUUGCAACAAAAUUCAUAUUUGUUUUUAAUAUGUAAAUAUUUUUAAUUUUUAUUUACUUAUUUGUUUUCACAAAACCUAGAGUCUUUAAAAAUAACACUAGUUUUGCAAAGUUUUCACAAAGACUUUAUCCAUUCAAAUCUCCUCAAACCAAUGUUCAAAGAAAGCCUAUCAAUUUUGCUCUCUAAACUUACUCUUUAAUUAAACCAAAAACCCUAUAAUUGCAAUGAGCGCUCAAUUAUCCCAGACAUAUAUAUUUACUCUAAUAAUUAUCUAUAUGAUUAGGUAGAAGUAGAUAAAAAUAGUUUAAUUUUAUAAUAUCUUCUAGAAUAGCAUCUUAUAAGUUUUAUAGAUAUGAUUUUGACUUUAUACAUAUUUAUAGUUGACUUUUAGGUUAGAAACUUGGUCAAUAAGUUAGCCAAGUAUCACACAUAUAAAUAGCUUGUGGAACAAGCUAACUAUGUAGUGCACACAUAGAAAACUUACCUUGUAAGUUAAGACAUGUGGCUUGCAAAGUCAACUCAUGUUGGAGAUUCUAUAGAACAUUGCCAUGUAACUCCUAGAUAGAUAGUAUAUAUAGAAGCAAGAGUGAAGCUUUCUUCAUUCUUAUCAAUUUCUUUUUUCCUCUAGUUUAGAUUCAAGAGUCUUUAGUUUUCUUGUCUUUUGGCAAUAGCCAUUCUAGUUUGCUUUUAAUAUAUAUAUUUCUUUAUUUUUAUUUUAUCAUACUUCUUUGAUAAAAAUCUCACUUGAUUAUUUACUUUUAUUAGAUUUUUUUCCUUGAUAAAUUGAUAAGAGGAUACUUUCAAUAUUAGAGCUUUUUCUUUUCUUGAUUAAGAAUAGAUUACUUCUUUUUUUUGAUAAGACAUAUGCAUAUUUGAAGUUGUAGAGUACUCGCUUUUAAAUUGAUAUUGUUCUUAGUAUAUUCUAUAUUUUGAAGUUCUCUCUUCUAUUUGUCUUGAAUGAUAUUAGACAUCUUCUCUUUUCUAAAUAUUAUCAUGGUAGAGCUUCUUAAAAUAAAGAAUAUAAUGAUACAAAUGCAAGAGUAAUUGAUGGAGUUAAUGCUUACAGUGCAUUAAUUCAAUUUACCACCACAAGGAAAAAUAAUAUAGAGAUGAUUAGAGCUCCUUUAACAUCUCUAUCAAAUCAUGUUUCUUUUCCUAAAGUUAAACAUCCUUCCAGUAUUAUAGAAUUAAAGGUUACAUUGUAUGAGAAGCUUGAUGGCAUAAGAUGCAAGUUUCAAGAAUUUAUCAAUCAAAUAUAACUUGUGAUUGAACUUCAACUCUAAAGCUAUUAAACUCUAGGAUUACAAGUUGGAUUCAUUGAUACACUUCUUUCAAGUUUAAUAUUAUCAUGUUUUUUUAUCUCAUUUUGAACAAUGAGAUUUAAUAUUAGAUAAUUUAGAUAUUUUUUUGAUAGAAUUUCGAUCCACGUAUAGAAAACAUAAUGCAAUUCAUGUUGUAAUGAAUAAGAUCGUUAUUUUGUAAUAAAACAAUCAAUUAAUAAUGUUAUUUGCUUCAUAAUUUUGACAAUUUGCAAUUGAUAUUAAAUAGAAUGAUGCUGCACUUGUUAGCCAAUUUUUUUAUAAAUUACAAUAUGAGAUAAAAAAACAUUGAAUUAAGGCAUUGACUUUGUUGUAAAUUGUGACAAUCAAUUUUUUAAAUUUUGAUCUAAGAGUUGUACAAGUACACAUCAACGUUGUCGUAUUAUGUGUAUUCUUGCUUGAGAAUACCUUGGGCACUUAGCUAAGGAAGAUAAGUAAUAAUGUAACAAUAAUUCUAUCAAGUCUAAUAGAACCAUAAAUAAACUUCAAGUAAUUUCUAAUAAUCCAAUCAAACUUAAACUAUCCAAAUAAAUUUCAAAUAAAUUAUAAAAAAAAUUAAAAAUAUCAAAGAAAAAUUAAAAAUUAAAAAUUUAAUGUAAUUCUAAUUAAAAUCCUAAUUUAAUCUUAAUCAAAUCUUAAGUCAAUUCUAAGUGAAAUCUUAAUUGAACCUUAACCAAAAUUCUAAAUCAAAUUCUAAUGAAAUCUUAAUGAAAUUCUAAACCCUAGAAAAAUUCUAGAUAAAUUCUAAAUCAAAUCCUAAAUAAAUCUUAAUCUUAAUCAAAUCUUAGACCAAAUUUUAAAUCAAAUCCUAAUCAAAUUCUAGAUCUUAAACAAACUCUUAAUAAAUCUUAUAAUAGAUUGGAAUCUCAACAAUUAGUAAUAAAACCAUUGAUAUCAAUUCAAAAUUAUCAUAAUUUUUGAAUAUUUUAAGUAAAAAGAAAUAAAAAAAUGAUGAAAUCAAUUACACUUACUAAUUGAAAGAAAUAAAAAGUAAUCCAAUUAGGUAUUGGACAACUUCCUACUCCAACCUAAAUGCUCAACUUCCAGCACUAAUAUUUCCUUUAUGAAUUAUUGAAUUGCUUUUAAAUUUCAUCUAAAUAUUGAAAAUCAAGUCUAAUAUUCAUAUAAAAAUAUUUCACUUCAAUCCAAUCAAAAAAAUUCUAAAGAUCUUAGAAAUACUUACUAAUCCUUAAAUUCCAAUUUUUGAGACUUCAAGCCACAAUAUUAUCUCAAAUUCCAAAUUUAUGUGUUGAUUAUCAAAGACUCAAUAAAUUCACCAUCAAUAAUAGGUACCUACUACUUUUGAUAUCUAGAUUUAUUGAUCAAUUGAAUCAAGUUAAGAUCUAUACAAAAAUAGAUCUACAAGGAACAUAUAAUCUACUAUGCAUCAAAUAAGAAAAUGAAUAGAAGAUUAUAUUUUAAACUUGGUAUGAAUAUUUUGAAUACAUUAUAAUAUAUUAUCUUAGAUAUAUAUGUUUUGUGGAAAUUAUCGAUUAUUAUUGGAUCUUCAUGAAGAGCUUCAUUCAAAUUGCAACUCUACUUAUAUGUUUGACUUAUAAAGACAAAAUUUAAUGAAAUCAAGAGGCAAAAGUAACAUUUGAAGCUUUGAAGUCAACCUUUAUUUUUACACCAAUCUUAUAUUAUGUCAAAUUUUCAUAGCCAUUCUUUGUAGAAACAGAUAUAGUAUCAAAUUUUAUUUUGAAUGUUGUAUUGUCACAAAAGGGAAUAGAUGAUAAACUUCACCCAAUAGCUUUUUAUUGAAGAAAUUUUUUAAUAGCAAAGAUGAACUAUGAGAUUCACAACAAAGAAAUUUUUGGAAUUGUGGAUUUAUUUCAAUAAUAGUGCUAUUAUGUAUAAGAUGCUUUUAAUCCAUCACUAUUUAUAUGGACUACAAGGAUCUUAAAUAUUUUAUAUCAUCUUAUGUUUUGAAUUUUUGCCAAGUCCAUUGGAACAUGUCUUUGUCAAUAUUUGAUUUCAAGAUUACUUAUCAAUCCAAAAACAACAAAGUUUAUUACACGCCUUUUCUAGAUGUUUUUAUUUUAUAUCAAAUAAAAGAAAUACAUCUUUUGAUAAAAAAAAAAUAGUUCUCUUGAAGUUGGAUAAUUUUUAUCUUUGAACAAUAAAAUAAAUAUUGAUUAUUGGUUCAACCUUUGUCAAAUAAAUUUGAUCAAGUAUAUUUAAAAAAAAAAGAAUAUUUAUAUAUUUCAAAAGGAGAAGAAUAUUUACAUGUUUUUUAAGCAUGUUAUGAUUUUCUAUCCAUUCAAUACUUAUAUUACAAUAAGACUUUUUAGCUUAUAUUUAGAGAUUUUUAGUAGUUUUAAAUGUAGAAGGGAGUGAAAGACUUUGUCUAAUCAUAUGACAUUUGUUCUAUGUCAAAAACUCCUUGCUAUGGAUCUUAUGAACUUCUUUGAUCAUUGAACAUAACCAAAUAACUAUGAUCUUUUAUUUCUAUGGAUUUUUUCACAGUGGUAUAUGGCAUGAUUUUCUAUUUAAGAAUACAUUAAGUACUUAGCUAUAGAGAAUUUGGUUUUAAUGUAUUGGAUAAGUUUCAAUAAGUGAUUUUAUUCUUAUUAUUUUAAGGCCAACAAGAUACAAUAGUAUCAAAAGAUAUUCUAUUAUUAUAAUCUUUUUGUAUUUAAGAAGAUUUAUACAUAAGGCUUUGUAAAUCAUUUAAAAAUACCCUAAAAUCCUUUGAUAUACCAAAUUAUAAUUAACUAUUAGCCGAUAAGUUUGAUUUUCCAAAAGCUUAAAGAAAAUCCAUAAUCCUCUUACAAAUAUCCAUCUUUAUGUCAUAAUUUUUUCAUAGCUCUAUAUCUCUAUGAAUCAUCAAAUUAACUCACUUAGUAUUUUAGGAUAAAAAUAUGCAUUUAAAAUACUUUAAAUCACAAUAUAUAGUGAGUAGUAUAGAAAUCCUCAAAAAAAUAGAAAAUUAAAAUAUUAGUAGUGGAAAUGGAGUCUUAAUAAGUUUUCGAGGUAAUUAUCUUUGUUGGUUUAGUAUUUUUAUUCAUUACUGAAUAUUAAGGAUUAUUAUUAAGACCAAUAUUAGUCUUCUAUCUAUGUGUACUACUUAUAAAAAUUAUAAAUUUUAGUAAUUAGAAGAAGCAUGAAAAAGAAUCUCAUAUCAUUUUAAUUAUUGAUAUAAAAAAUAGGAUUUAUAGUGAAUUUAAAUUAAUUUUAUUAUUAUAAAAAAUUUACCAUGGUAGAAAAAUAUAGCCAUAGAUGGAUAUUAGUAUUAUAAAAAUAUUAUAAAAAAAAUUUAAAAUUUAUUUAGAAUUUAUUUAGAAUUUUUUAAGAAUUUUUAGAGUAAUUUUCAAGAUCUUAGUAAAAAUGAGUUUUACCAUUUUGGGAGCCUCUAUGAAAAAAUAAAGCAAGAUUUGAAGGCCACACAAGGUUCCUAUGCUGAUUGGGUGAUUUUGAAUACCAUAAUGAGGUGUCACGAAUCUAGAAUGUUGACUGAAAACAAGAAACUUAAGAAGAAUUGGCAAGAACUAGAUUAAUCAGAUGAGUACAAGAACAACACUAGAGAGAUGAGUUAGAGCUCCAAGAGGUGUGUUGUCGAGACUGAGGAUCCCCUUAGUCUCAGCUCCUAUAUAUACUACGAGUUAGGAAGCUUCUCAAGCAGCUUCCACAAACUACAAAGCUUCUCAAGAAUCUUCUAAAAUCUUCUACAACUUUCUAGUAUAUGUUCUUGACAUCACUCCCCUCCUUUUAGCUUUGAGGUCUCAGAGAAGCACUCCUAUUACAAGUUAGUACCAACAUAAGAAGUUGAAAAUUUGUUGCAUAGUGUCUACAAUAUAUUCCAAUUAUUGUUCAUGCGGCAAGUAGUUCAUUGAUCCUUGUAACCAACGAUAGUGUCCUACACCUUUGAUUUUGAACUAAGCAUGAACUUUUGUGUCUUCAUUGUGAAAAUGCCCUACAAACACUCCUUCAAGAAGAUCACCAUAGGUAAGUUCUACCUCAAACACAA
rnacentral:lncRNA from 1 species